GACGAACGCUGGCGGCGUGCUUAACACAUGCAAGUCGAACGGAAAGGCCCUGCUUGCAGGGUACUCGAGUGGCGAACGGGUGAGUAACACGUGGGUGAUCUGCCCUGCACUUCGGGAUAAGCCUGGGAAACUGGGUCUACUACCGGAUAGGCGCCAAUUCUAGAGUGAUGGUUGGAAAGUUUUUUCGGUGUAGGAUGAGCUUGCGGUCUAUCAGCUUGUUGGUGGGGUAAUGGCCUAGCAAGGCGGCGACGGGUAGCGGGGCUGAGAGGGUGGACGGACACAUUGGGACUGGGAUGCGGCCCGGACCCCAACGGGAGGGAGCAGUGGGGAAUAGUGCACAAUGGGCGGAAGGCUGAUGCAGCGAAGCCGCGUGGGGGAUGACGGGCUGCGGGUUGGAAUCUCCUUUCGCGAGGGACGAAGCUUUAUGUGACGGUACCUAGAUAAGAAGCACCGGCUAACUACGUG
rnacentral:rRNA from 1 species